GGGCAGGUAGCUUAGCCGGGAGAGCGCAGGACUGAAGAUCCUGAGGUCGUGGGUUCAAGUCCCAUUCUGCCCA
rnacentral:tRNA from 1 species